AAGAGGCAGCAGGCUUCGUGAGCUGGGGAAGUGCCAGAAGCAGCCUUCGAAUUAGACAGACCUGGACCCAAACCCUUUCUCUUCCCCCCACCCAUUUUGGCAUCUUGGCACGAGACUGUCCCCAUUUCUGGAAAGGGUGUUCACAAGAACAGUCUGGCUGGGUUGUUGGGAUGACCGAGUGUGAUCAUGCGUCUCUAUGGCUGGCCAUGGUGUUUAUUCGAUGGCAGGUAUUACCAGGAUGGAGCGAGUCCCAGUAGGAAGGGCCUUUAGGAUGUCAUCUGGUUCCACCCAACAGGGAUGGGAACUGUAAUUCCCCACUCUCCCUGUGGAGAAUCAGGGCGGGCUCCGGAUGGAUGGCCAAAGGCUGCACAGAGGUGAGCCUCCAGGGUUGGGUUCUAAGCGCUGUUCACACUCCUGUCCCAGUGGUGUUUGGUCUGGGGCACAUUGUGAUAUGUGUUUCCCUCCUUUC
rnacentral:lncRNA from 1 species